rnacentral:rRNA from 1 species
AUUGAACGCUGGCGGCAUGCCUUACACAUGCAAGUCGAACGGUAACAGGUUAAGCUGACGAGUGGCGAACGGGUGAGUAAUGUAUCGGAACGUGCCCAGUCGUGGGGAUAACUGCUCGAAAGAGCAGCUAAUACCGCAUACGACCUGAGGGUGAAAGCGGGGAUCGCAAGACCUCGCGCGAUUGGAGCGACCGAUAUCAGAUUAGGUAGUUGGUGGGGUAAAGGCCUACAAGCCUACGAUCUGUAGCUGGUCUGAGAGGACGACCAGCCACACCUGGGACUGAGACACGGCCCAGACUCCUACGGGAGGCAGCAGUGGGGAAUAUU